rnacentral:rRNA from 1 species
CGACUGCGGAGGACAUUAACGAGUCUGAACCGGGAGCCUGUUGCUGGUGCGGAGACGCACAUGUGCACGGCUUUCGUGCUCAAUCCACUCAACCCCUGUGCACCUUUGCGAAGCCAGUAGCCUUUUUUCUCUCUUUAUUCAGCUGUAUGGGAGCUUGCCUUGUUGCGGGUUCCACUUGGCUUGGAGGGAGGAGGGAGGCGAACGCUUUGAUUUUUAUUACAAACCCAUUAUAUGUCUUGUGGAAUGCAAUGCUCCUUGUGGGCGAAAUGAAAUACAACUUUCAACAACGGAUCUCUUGGCUCUCGCAUCGAUGAAGAACGCAGCGAAAUGCGAUAAGUAAUGUGAAUUGCAGAAUUCAGUGAAUCAUCGAAUCUUUGAACGCACCUUGCGCCCCUUGGUAUUCCGAGGGGCAUGCCUGUUUGAGUGUCAUGUUAAUCUCAAACCACGAGUCUUUCUUAAUGGAGGGACUCGUCCGGUUUGGACUUGGAGGAUUACUGCUGGCUCCCUUUGUAGUCGGCUCCUCUGAAAUGCAUUAGCUGGACUUUGGUUCGCAUUUACGGUGUAAUAGUAAUAAACUUGUUCGCCGGGGUGCUUGCCUAAGGAGUCUGCUUCUAAUCGCCCGUUAUUUAAAGGGCAAGGUCCUCGGUUGACCUUCUGAACACUUGACCUCAAAUCAGGUAGACAG